GAUGAAGAACGUAGCGAAAUGCGAUAAGUAAUGUGAAUUGCAGAAUUCAGUGAAUCAUCGAAUCUUUGAACGCACAUUGCGCCCGCUAGUAUUCUGGCGGGCAUGCCUGUUCGAGCGUCAUUUCAACCAUCAAGCCCUGUUUAGGCUUGUGUUGGGGCCCUGCGGUUGCCACAGCCCCCUAAAUGCAGUGGCGGGCUCGUUGUCACUCCGAGCGCAGUAGCGUAUCUCGCUCUGGGCGUGGCGGCGGGUGCUAGCCGUGAAAUACCCACUAAGGUUGACCUCGGAUCAGGUAGGAAUACCCGCUGAACUUAAGCAUAUCAAUAAGCGGAGGA
rnacentral:misc_RNA from 1 species